rnacentral:rRNA from 1 species
UACGGAGGAUGCGAGCGUUAUCCGGAUUUAUUGGGUUUAAAGGGUGCGCAGGCGGUCUGUUAAGUCAGCGGUCAAAGCCCGGGGCUCAACCCCGGCCCGCCGUUGAGACUGGCAGUCUCGAGUUGGAGAGAAGUAUGCGGAAUGCGCGGUGUAGCGGUGAAAUGCAUAGAUAUCGCGCAGAACUCCGAUUGCGAAGGCAGCAUGCCGGCUCCACACUGACGCUGAGGCACGAAAGCGUGGGUAUCGAACAGG